rnacentral:rRNA from 1 species
UACGGAGGGGACUAGCGUUGUUCGGAAUUACUGGGCAUAAAGCGCGCGUAGGCGGAUUUGCAAGUCGGGGGUGAAAGCCCGAGGCUCAACCUCGGAACUGCCCUCGAUACUGCAAAUCUCGAGUCCGAGAGAGGUGAGUGGAAUUCCUAGUGUAGAGGUGAAAUUCGUAGAUAUUAGGAAGAACACCAGUGGCGAAGGCGGCUCACUGGCUCGGUACUGACGCUGAGGCGCGAAAGCGUGGGGAGCAAACAGG